rnacentral:rRNA from 1 species
GACGAACGCUGGCGGCGUGCUUAACACAUGCAAGUCGAACGGAAAGGCCCUGCUUGCAGGGUACUCGAGUGGCGAACGGGUGAGUAACACGUGGGUGAUCUGCCCUGCACUUCGGGAUAAGCCUGGGAAACUGGGUCUAAUACCGGAUAGGAGCCAUUUUUAGUGUGAUGGUUGGAAAGUUUUUUCGGUGUAGGAUGAUCUCGCGGCCUAUCAGCUUGUUGGUGGGGUAAUGGCCUACCAAGGCGGCGACGGGUAGCCGGCAUGAGAGGGUGGACGGCCACAUUGGGACUGAGAUACGGCCCAGACUCCUACGGGAGGCAGCAGUGGGGAAUAUUGCACAAUGGGAGAAAGCCUGAUGCAGCGACGCCGCGUGGGGGAUGACGGCCUUCGGGUUGUAAACUCCGUUCGCUAGGGACGAAGCUUUUGUGACGGUACCUAGAUAAGAAGCACAGGCUAACUACGUG